AGCUUUAUCAGAGAUCAUACUUUGGAGAGCAUCUGUCACCUUUUGUUCAGUGACUUGUCGGAUAAGGCUAGCAUUAUACUGAUCAAUGAUUAUAGAUGAGAUAAUAGGCAAAACUAUAGAUUGGUUAGUAGUCUACACCAACCAUCUUUGUUGAAAACAUUAAUCAAGGAGUACUUGUCGGAUUUGCUUCGGGUUAUCAUUAUCAUU
rnacentral:lncRNA from 1 species